GAUGAGCGCUGACAGAAUGCUUAACACAUGCAAGUCAACUUGAACUUCGGUUUGGGUGGCGGACGGGUGAGUAACGCGUAAAGAACUUGCCUCACAGAUAGGGACAACAUUUGGAAACGAAUGCUAAUACCUGAUAUUAUGAUUUUAGGGCAUCCUAGAAUUAUGAAAGCUAUAUGCGCUGUGAGAGAGCUUUGCGUCCCAUUAGCUAGUUGGAGAGGUAACGGCUCACCAAGGCGAUGAUGGGUAGCCGGCCUGAGAGGGUGAUCGGCCACAAGGGGACUGAGACACGGCCCUUACUCCUACGGGAGGCAGCAGUGGGGAAUAUUGGACAAUGGACCAAGAGUCUGAUCCAGCAAUUCUGUGUGCACGAUGAAGUUUUUCGGAAUGUAAAGUGCUUUCAGUUGGGAAGAAAAAAAUGACGGUACCAACAGAAGAAGUGACGGCUAAAUACGUGCCAGCAGCCGCGGUAAUACGUAUGUCACAAGCGUUAUCCGGAUUUAUUGGGCGUAAAGCGCGUCUAGGUGGUUAUAUAAGUCUGAUGUGAAAAUGCAGGGCUCAACUCUGUAUUGCGUUGGAAACUGUGUAACUAGAGUACUGGAGAGGUAAGCGGAACUACAAGUGUAGAGGUGAAAUUCGUAGAUAUUUGUAGGAAUGCCGAUGGGGAAGCCAGCUUACUGGACAGAUACUGACGCUGAAGCGCGAAAGCGUGGGUAGCAAACAGG
rnacentral:rRNA from 1 species